AUUGAACGCUGGCGGCAUGCCUUACACAUGCAAGUCGAACGGCAGCACGGGAGCAAUCCUGGUGGCGAGUGGCGAACGGGUGAGUAAUACGUAUGUAACCUACCCUAUACAGGGGAAUAGCCUUCCGAAAGGGAGAUUAAAACCCCAUAAUACAGUUUAGUGGCAUCACUAGAUUAGUUAAAUCUCAGGAGGUAUAGGAUGGGCAUGCGGGACAUUAGUUAGUUGGUGAGGUAAUGGCUCACCAAGGCGAUGAUGUCUAGGGGGUCUUAAAGGAUGAUCCCCCACACUGGUACUGAGAUACAGACCAGACUCCUACGGGAGGCAGCAGUGAGGAAUAUUGGUCAAUGGACGCAAGUCUGAACCAGCCAUGCCGCGUGAAGGAUUAAGGUUCCAUGGAUUGUAAACUUCUUUUCUACUAGGUUAAAAUUAUGUACGCGUACAUAACUGCAGGUAUAGUAGGAAUAAGCAUCGGCUAACUCCGUGCCAGCAGCCGCCGUAA
rnacentral:rRNA from 1 species